AUCAUUACACUUGACGAUAUCCUAAGAUCCGGAAAAAGUGAUCACCAACAACACUUGAGCUAGUCUUAUAGGCAAGCCUAGGAACCUUUUCCAUUUACCAUUUAUGAUCCCACACGUGCAUAUGAGUUUUCAACUAAAUCACAUAUUCCAGGAUCAUACCAGUUAUAGCAUAGGAUAUAAACUCCUUAAUUAUGAAUAUGCAAAUAUGUCAAUACAAAUAUUAUUGCCUCUAGGUCAUAUUUGCAACACAUACAUAACUAUAAAAUUAUGCAUAAGAAAGGAUUCGAUAGAUUCAAAAUAGUUCAAUGAAUAAUCUAAUCAUAAACCCAAAAUUCAUCAGAUCCCAACAAACACACCGCAAAAGAUUACAUCAGAUUGAUCUUAGAGAAGAUCAUUGUAUUGAAGAUUAAAAGAGAGAGAGAAAGCCAUGUACCUACUGCUAUGGACCCAUAGGUCCUGUAGAAACUACUCACACAUCAUCAAGGAGGCAGCAAGGUUGAUGAAGAUAACCUCCCCAAUGAUUUCCGCCUCCUGUGGAGUACCAAAAAAGGGCUCCAGAUGAGAUUGCGGAAGAAUAGAGGUUUGCGGCAGCUUAAGAAUUGUUUCGGGUCCCACUCCGAGUGUUUCAGAAUAUAUGUGAAUUUAUAGGCCAAGAAUUAGGUCAAUCGAAGCUACGUGGGGCCCACAAGUCAACGGGUGGCGUCCACCUGGCUUGUGGGGGGCACGUGGGUCUUUUUGUCCUCCCCGAAGCUUCUAGGGUCUCUUACAUUCCAGAAAAUAUCAUUGUAAAGUUUCAUCGUGUUUGGACUUCGGUAGGUAUGGUUUUUCUGCGAAACAAAAACAUGUAGAAAACAUGAGCUGGCACUAAGCACUACUUAAUAGGUUAGUCAAUAAAAAUAAUAUAAAAUGGCAUAUAAAGCAUACAAAAGUAAUAAUAUAAUAGCAUGAAAUAAUCAAAAUUAUGGAUACAUUGGUGAUGUAUCAGCCACACGCACUACCAAAGUAGCUAAAUGUAUAGAAGAAUGUGGCAUAGAAAGACAACUGAGAAAGGCCACACGCACACUACUGUUCUUUGUCUUGAUGGCAACACAUUGAAACACUUUCCCACUAACAACCCUAGCCCACACACCCUAACCACUUACCAACAAAGCCCACCAAGUGGCAAUAUAUUCUUUGAAUAACCACUUCAUGCAAAAUCCCUUGCAAUAUAUUCAGACCAAUCCAUCAACCAAAAAAUUGCAGUGUUCUUCACCACUGAACUCUGAUUCAAGAACUAAAGGCUAUGUCAAUUGCAUAUACUAUCUUGCAUGUUUUCAUUUGUCUUUUCCCCUCCAAAUGAUAAUUUUCUACUUGCCAAAAGACACGAGAAUGCAAGAAAAAAGGUCCUGCAGAAAUAAGGUGAGAGAAAUGCAUCCUGUUAUAGCCUUACAUGUGAAGAGAAAUAAGCAUUUUGUAGUAUGCAUAUAUGGUAAACUACAAUCUUCAGAUAACCACAUUGGGCGAUCCUUUACAAUCAAUUCAACUGACUAAUCGGUCAAUUCGACACCGAACAGUAAAGGAUAAACACAAGUUACUAAAAACUUUUGAACCACAGAUGCCUUGUACUUAAUCCAUAUAAUGAGACCCACGAGGUAAUGCAGAAUAAAAAUAGUAGCUCUAUAUCUUAACCAAACCACAGUGCAAAUAUUUUCCACAAAUAUCACAGUGAGUAGGAUAAGAACAACAUGAUAAAAACAGCAGCUCUGCAUCUUAAUCGGCAAUUCAUCCCUACCUUGUCUCCCUGUCUGCCGCCACCUCCUCAUGGAUCUCACCACCGGUAGCACACCGCAAUCGGCCAGCCAGCAAUCAACACCAAACGCACAUUGGCACCAAACAACGAUCUCCAUGCCUUCGUCCCGCCCGUCUUCCCCAGUACUUUUUUUGCUGGUGUUCCCCAAUCCUUCUUGAUCAUCCUCCUUGUUGCCAGAACCACCAGCAGCUCCUUGAUCCUGCUGCUAUGGUCCAUGCUCGAUCUACUCCUCGUGGUGCACUAACGCCCUUAUCCACGAGACAAGGGGGAAAAUAAGAGGGAGGGCAGAGAUAGAGUGGGGGGAGAUAGAGGCAAACCUGAACCACCUCAACUUCCCUGCUCUUGAUGCUCCGUCCAGCGAGCCUUCUUCCACGGCCGACCCCGCCAGCAUUCGUGCCUGCACGACCUCCUUGCUCCUGUUGUUCCGGCUGACGAGCCUCCCUCCACGGCAGAUCCCGCCCGCAUUUGCCGUUGCACCAACCCUUGCUGAUUUUCCUCGCAGGCCCGGAUCUUCUUCCCAGCCCCGACCCGUGCGUUGCCAGGGGGCCAAGAAACGGGUGCGGUGGCUGUGGGAGGGGGAGGAGGAGUGAGGAGUGGACGGCUGC
rnacentral:lncRNA from 1 species